rnacentral:rRNA from 1 species
AUACGACUGUCGGCAACGGAUAUCUAGGCUCUCGCAUCGAUGAAGAACGUAGCAAAAUGCGAUACUUGGUGUGAAUUGCAGAAUCCCGUGAAUCAUCGAGUUAAUGAACGCAAGUUGCGCCCAAAGCCACU